UUUUGGAAUUUUUCGUGACAA
ensembl:piRNA 21ur-10207 ncRNA